rnacentral:rRNA from 1 species
UGCCAGCAGCCGCGGUAAUACAGAGGGGGCGAGCGUUGUUCGGAAUUACUGGGCGUAAAGGGCGCGUAGGCGGCUAUGUCAGUUGGGAGUGAAAGCCCCGGGCUCAACCUGGGAACUGCUCUCAAUACUGCGUGGCUUGAGAACGGGAGAGGGUAGUGGAAUUCCCAGUGUAGAGGUGAAAUUCGUAGAUAUUGGGAAGAACACCAGUGGCGAAGGCGGCUGCCUGGCCCGUUUCUGACGCUGAGGCGCGAAAGCGUGGGGAGCAAACAGGAUUAGAUA